UGACGGAACCAGUGCCACCCCUGUGAGUGUCCUCGCACAAAUGUGUAUGCAGGUGUUGCUGGUAUCAGCAGGCAUGGACAACUGACAUUAAGCAGGAGAUACUUGUCUUGAGAAGAUGUUAGUGUGGAUGACACAUGGCAAUGGCAGCAACUAUGAAGGUGGUAUGCAAAGGAUUAAAAGCUGAUGCACACAUCUAGACUCCUAACAGUUUCUGUGCCAUCUUUCCCUCUUCCCCUGUUCUUUAGAGCAACAUGGCUCAGCCACAAAUAACUUCAAUCACGGCUUCUUCCAUUCAUUCCUACACCCUUCCAUCCACCCAUCCACCCAUCCAUCCAUCUUUGAUGCAAGUCAACAUGCUAGGUGUUAGGGAUCCAAGACCCACUGCCCAAGUCUCCAUAUCUUGACUUCUCUUUCCAAACUCCCAUCUGUUCCAGCCCUUCCUGUUUAAUAAACAUUGAUGUGCCCGUGUG